rnacentral:lncRNA from 1 species
GGAGCUGGGUUUAGCAUGCAUUUAAACUAUUACCUGGGUUGUGUAGCUUGGCCGUCCUAAACCACCCACGGGCUAUAUGGGUUCAGCUCCCCUGUUGAAAGGGCCCUAGUGAGUGUAGCCACAUGAACAGGGAAUUAUAUCAUGGGAUGACUAGUACAUUCCUCAAUAGUGUGACAUCAUGCGCACAGUCCACUAAGACCAAUCCUCAUAUCGAUAAAUAAGAGUUUCCAAUUUUGAUCCCCCCCAGG